CUCUGGUGGCUCAGAGGGUAAAGAGUCUGCCUUCAAUGCAGGAGACUCAGGUUUGAUCCCUGAAUCAGGAA
rfam:TPA: Bos taurus chromosome 18, whole genome shotgun sequence.